rnacentral:tRNA from 1 species
GCCUGGGUGGCUCAGUCGGUUAAGCAUCCGACUUCUGCUCAGGUCAUGAUUUCACGGUUUGUGGGUUCGAGCCCCACGUCGGGCU